GACGAACGCUGGCGGCGUGCCUAAUACAUGCAAGUCGAGCGGACCGACCAGGAGCUUGCUCUUGUUCGGUUAGCGGCGGACGGGUGAGUAACACGUGGGUAACCUGCCCGUAAGACCGGGAUAACUCCGGGAAACCGGAGCUAAUACCGGAUAACACCGAAGACCGCAUGGUCUUUGGUUGAAAGGCGGCUUCGGCUGCCACUUACGGAUGGGCCCGCGGCGCAUUAGCUAGUUGGUGGGGUAACGGCUCACCAAGGCGACGAUGCGUAGCCGGCCUGGGAGGGUGACCGGCCACCCUGGGACUGGAACACGGCCCAGACUCCUACGGGAGGCAGACGUAGGGAAGCUUCCGCAAUGGACGAAAGUCUGACGGAGCGACGCCGCGUGAGCGAAGAAGGUCUUCGGAUCGUAAAGCUCUGUUGUUAGGGAAGAAGAAGCGUCGUUCGAACAGGGCGGCGCGGUGACGGUACCUAACGAGAAAGCCCCGGCUAACUACGUG
rnacentral:rRNA from 1 species